GAGUAACGCGUGAGUAACCUGCCUUAUACAGGGGGAUAACAGUCAGAAAUGGCUGCUAAUACCGCAUAAGCGCACAGAGCUGCAUGGCUCAGUGUGAAAAACUCCGGUGGUAUAAGAUGGACCCGCGUUGGAUUAGCUUGUUGGUGGGGUAACGGCCCACCAAGGCGACGAUCCAUAGCCGGCCUGAGAGGGUGAACGGCCACAUUGGGACUGAGACACGGCCCAGACUCCUACGGGAGGCAGCAUG
rnacentral:rRNA from 1 species